rnacentral:tRNA from 4 species
GGUCCCGUAGCUCAGCAGGAUAGAGCAACAGAUUCCUAAUCUGUAGGUCGUGAGUUCGAAUCUCGCCGGGAUCGCCA